ensembl:lncRNA
UUGACUAGAAGGAUUUACGGUAACUCACAUAACUGAAGGGAAUUUUUGAAAAAAUCAACAAACAAAAAGCAAAAAUAAGCUUUGGAAGACACAAUAGAGCACAGUGUAUAGUUAUUAUUACUGCCGUUCACCAAAUAUUGUCGGCUCUUCUCUGGCACACAGAAGGGAUGUAUCUUCUUGGCCCCUUAAAGUCAAAUGUGACUUUGUGAGCCUUUGGCAAAUGAAACUUGAGCAAAAAUGAGGCUGUCUCUUCCAGACAAACCUUUGGCAAACAGUAGGAGUGUGUUUUUCCUGCCUGGCAGUUGUGCAAGAAGUUGGAUCGAGCAUCUUUUAGCUGCCAUCUACUCAAUCCUCCAGACUGAGCAAGGAUAAUACAGAGCCAGCUCCUGAUGACAUGGAGCAUGUUCGAGAAAUAAACCUUGGUUAUUUUUAGCUGAGACUUAGGAGUUUGUUGUGAAUACAGCACAACAUGGACUAUCUGACUGAUGAAAACAUAUGUAGGGGAGGAAGACAUUUCCUCUUCCCAAAUGUGGGUUCGUCUGGCUGGAGAACGAAUUAAAUUCACAUGAGACAGAAAAGCAAGAGAAAAUUAAACAAAGCUUUAUGAGGAACCGUGGCCCGGUGCCUUUCUUCCCGAAGGAAGAAAGGGCACCAAAGAAGUGGGGUGCACAUAGUGGUUAUAUACCGCCAAAUGGGGUGUUUCACAUGUGAUUGAAAUGUCCCUCCCACAAUAGUCACAAGAUUGCCCUGUCGGCACUUGAUGGACACAGCAGGUAGUGGGUCUGCUAUCUCAGUGGGCAUAGCAGGACUCAAGUCGAUUGUCUGGAGCUGGGCGGUCACAGGUGAGCUCAGCAAUCAGUUCCUAGCCUAAGGAAAGAUGCUUAAUCCUUAAGAAAUGCCAACGUUGGGAGGGGGAGGAAAGUCAGUUACAGGAGGUUACCAGACUAGCACAAUAAAAUGCAGAUUUAAGUCCUUGCCUUUGGUAUUGAUUAAGAGUUUUUAGAGAGAAGGUCAUCUCCUUUCUUCUUCCUGGUACAGGGAGGGAGGCAACUUUUACAGAUAGAGAUUUACCUUACAAAUGUAAAUGUGCCCUAACAAAGGGCAAGUUCCAUUCCUCCUUCCCUGUCCCAGUUUCUCAAAAGCAAUCAGCCUCAAAUAAUCCUGAUGCCAAAGAGACAUAUCUUGGGGUGGCCAUUUCCAGGUCCCCACACAUACAUAUUACCAAUUUCCUGUGCUGUUGACCAAAAUGAUGCGGGUGAGCCAAUAUUAGAAUUCCUUUUCACAAAGGUGGAUAAGUGACAGAUUAGAAGUCUACACUGUCCCAGGAGUGUAGACAGAUACCAUGCUUAUAUAUAGCAAAAAUAUUUCCUCAUUUUGUCCUUUACCUGUCAAUAAAAAAGCAUAUCUAUAGAAAUCUGGAGGUAAAGCUCCAGACAAAACCAACAUGGUGACAAGGAGGAACAUUACAUACUUGUAAAAGGAGCGACAGAUGAGAAAAUAAUAAUAAUGGCUGGGAACUUAUAGAACCUUGCAUUGAAAGGGAUCUCAUAUGGAACUCAGGAAAUAUUUAUAGCUGAAAGCACUACAUGACAAAAUCUGGUGGAUGGAAUUAAACAAUACUUAGAAGAAAGAUACCUUCAACAUACGUAUCUAAAAAGAAAAAUUAGAAACCAAUGAGCUACUUGUUCAAGAAGCUAGACAAAGAGCAAGACAGUAAAGUCAGGAAGAAAGGAAAUGAGAAAGAGAAAUGCCAAACCUUUGUUUCUAUUUAUUUGCUCUUUAUUUAUUGCUAUGGACUGAAUUCUCUCUCCCCACCAUUCAUAUAUGGAAGCCCUGACCCCCCCUUGUGACCAUGUCCAGACACAAGGUCUUUAGGAAGUAAUUAUGGUGAAAAUGAAGUCAUAAUGGUGGAACCUAAAUCAGAUAGGACUGCGGCCUCAUCAGAAGUGGAAGAGAUCUCUCUUUCUGUUUCUUCACACGCAUACACACACCCCACCAUCUGAGGACUCAGUGAGAAGGGGACCUUAUGCAAGCUGAGGAGAGAGCCCUCGCCAGAACCUGACCAUGCUGGCAUCCUGAUCUCAGGCUUCCAGCCCCCAGAAUGCGUCAGGGCAGAGCCAAGAGGAGAAGAAAAGGUGGAACAUCAAGUGGUUGGAGAAACUACCAGAGGGAAACAGAGGAGAAAAGGAGGCUAAUUUCUAUUCUGAAAAGGCUCAGGGAAGAAUAGAAGCAGAGGCUGGAGAAAAGGCUGUGGAUGCUGGACAAUCCUGAUGAGAGGGAAAAGCAGGCAGACACCGUGGGCUGAGAGCCUGCUGCCUCACCGCUUCAAAGAUCACAAGCCACCAAGGGCACUCUUCUAGGAGAAAAAACUAACGCUCAAGUUAUGUCGUCUUACCAAGCAGGACACUCUGUAUUUGCUGUCCCAUCUGUGAGGGGAUUUGCAUGGAAACCUCCCCCAGUGCUAAUGGGAGUCGUUCUCCAACGCAGUCCUCUCUGCAUAGAGGACGGGACGGCUGCCACGGGGAUAUGAAGCUCGGGUCAUUUAAUAAAAAAAGCUCUUGGAAUUAGCACUCCCCAGGUUUCAGAGAUCCAUGUAGUGUAAUUUACUUCCACAUUUUCCUCUCAAUCUGAAGUCUGAAUGUGUUAUCUAAGCUUAGAUACAAGGUUAUCCAAGCAGUGACCUUGGUGGGAAUCUGGCUUCCCUGGGUCUUCUGGAAAAAUGGUCAUCCAAUCUUUUCUUCCUGUCCCCCCUUUAUAAGAAUACAGAAAAGCAACUACUUACAGAAAUAAAGCAAUUAUUAUAAAAAAGAAGAAUUUAUUAACAAUAUGGCUUGAAAAUGAACUGAACUAAAUUUUUCCCUCUUCGUAUGAAUUGGAUUUUUUCCUGUAAACAUGUUUAAUUAGAAACACGCAGUGAGA